rnacentral:lncRNA from 1 species
UUUAAAAAUGGCGGGCGUACGCGCGCGUACGUGCUCCUAAUUAUCGGUUCAUGAAUAUUCAUUUAUUUAUCAGCGCGAAAACUCACCAAUUAAACCACCCCAUAUCAGCGAUGACAUCGCCUCUGACGGUUUCUAAGCACCCCGGUUGGUAAGGAGGCUUCAUCAAAAUGAUAAAUACUUUUUAAAUUAUGAAAAUAUCAUUUUGUAAACUAAUUUUAUCCAAGUUUGAAUUUUGGGAUGAUUUUGCAUGAAAAUUUAACUUUUUUCUUGAUAUCUCAUCAAAAAAGGGCAUAUUUCUAAAAGUGUUUUUUUUACGGAAUUUUAACUUCUGAAAAGUAGUGAACGAGGGUGUAAUCUUCAUUGUUUUCUAUGUGGGAACCGAGCUAAUAUUUUUUUUUCCGUGAAUUUUCGUCCUUGAAUAUCACAUUUUUGGCGACAUUUCGGCUUGAAAACGCAUGUGACACGCGUUGAGCAUCAAGAAAUGCACACUGGGAAGCUGCUUAACGAGUUCCAAAAUGCUGAAUCUUGCAGCAAAAACGAAGAUUCUGUACUGCUUAUGUCUCGUCGAAGUCAAGAAACCUUCGAUCUCCAUUCACACCACGUUAUAAAGGACAUGGCAGGCAUUGCAUGCCCGCACUCGUCAUGCUCGUGGGAAGAAAUCUGACACCAUUCGGCGGCAUCACGCGGUCGUCGCUGGCCACCCGUGCCGGGAAUUUGAGCUCGAAACCCCACCACAAACAUCGCUUGUGACAGGCACCGCUUUGGAGUCGAGUUUUGGGUGUAAUAUGCGGCUGUAAAUGGAGAUGUUUUGAUUGUCGUUCCUUCUGAUGACGAUGCAGACCUUGGAAUCUACAUUACGAGACAUGAUGAAGAACUCUGUGAAGAAUAAAACUAUGGCCAGACUUGAACUGAAUUAAAAAAAUCCUUUUAUUUAAUAUACUUUAAAGAUUUUUAAUUAUUUUAAUAAUGGAGACUAGACAUGCAUUAAACAGAAAUGUAACCAUUAACAAAUGUACUCAGAAGUAGUCAGAAGAAAUCAAAAGUAAGUUUACCGACUUAGUCUUAGAAUAGAAUUACAUGGCUUCUGCUGACAACCAAGUACAUGUAUCAUCAAGCCAAUGCGAAACUAGAGACUUUAAUUGUUUAUUAAGACAAAAUAUCUCCUGAUUAAAUUGAUAUUGCAGUAUACAUGUAGUGAACAAAAAUUGCAGUAUGGUUAUAAGACAAAAAUGCUUGGGUCUAGUAACAUCGGCUGUUAUAUUGGAUUCGAAAUUAGGAUUGCAGCAAGGAUUUAAUUUUUCAUUCUAGUGAUUUUCGAAUAAAAGUGUUUUUUUUUACAAAUUAUUUUGUUGAAAGAACAAAAAGCAAAACACUAAAACUGGUCGGUGUUUAAAACUGAAAUUGAAACUAGGGCUUUCAAAAAGAAAGGGAUGGAAAGAGAAAAUUCAAUGAAAUAAUUAUAAUAAUUUAAAUGAGGAAUAGGUCUACUGAAUACCAUUGCUACUUUUCAUAAAAAAAGGAUUAUCUUGUAAUUUAACAGUCUACCAGGUGCAACAAUAAAAAAUUUCACGGAACUGCUUAAA